GUGGGUGUAGCACAUGGUGUGCAGCUGCCAAUUGUUCGCUGAUGACAUCCUGUGAAUUAAGUAGCCAUCCUGGGUUCGACUCCCGGCACCUGCA